UUCAAACUCAGUGCCUCUUUGUUUGACAUCAUGGGAAAAUCAAAAGAAAUCAGCCAAUACCAUGUGCAACUCCACCAACAAAGUGGAGCAGAGACCAGGCUUUGUGGAAUUCAGCUCUGACUACAUCGAUUUGACCAAUGUCGGUGGUUGUAUUUGAUUAGCGUUUAUUGAAGUACGGAUUUCAACAAACAAAGACAGGCACGCAACUACAGAGGACAAACAUAGGUACAAGGUGGCGGAUAGGGUGGUGGAUAUCAUAAUCUAUUCAACUAAUGAUAUCUUCAACUAAUUUCAAAGAGGUUGGGUGCGCCACAGAUGUCCAUCAUGAGGCUUUGCUGGCUUUGAAAUGGAGGGAAGGAGCAUGCAUGAGUUUAAAGUGAUUUUUGAUUCUCCACGUGUCUGCUCUGCCACAUGUUAUGCACCUAUCAAGAAGUCUACAGUAUCUAUGGAUUUGCUACCAUAGUGUUUUAUUCCCUAUCCACUUGUACACUGCAUUACACUGUUGUAAGUUUAGCCCAACCCAGGGCUCUCCAACUCUAGUCCUAGACAGCUACUGUGCAGGCUUUUGCUCAAAGAAUCGUAAGGUAUGCUUUUGCCGUAAAGCAUUUUUUAAAUCUGACACCGUGGUUGGAUUCACAAGAAGUUCAUCUUUAAACCUAUGUAAAAUAGUUGUAUCUUUUCUGAAUU